UCUCUCCGAAUCUGCGUACGGCUCCGCACACCAGUUGUAACACAAUGGCAAGCCGGUUUUCGAGAUCGCCGCAAGGUGUUUCUUGGGGACCACAAGGCUAUCCCUGGCAAUUCUGAGGCUAAUACAAGAACAUACCACCUUUGGCUGACCGGCAACGGGACGCUGGGGUGCGUGUAAGACCUCGCUAAGUUGCUAUGAGAAGCUGCACGCUCUGACCACUGCAAAAAACGGGCUCGCUUGUGAACCUUCGGGGGAUCGGGCUUGCUUGAGUGGCUCUUGCAAUGUGCUUCUGACCUAUCAACUAGAUGGCAGCGUAAGGGACAUGCUAUGGUGACAACGGGUACAGAGGAUAAGGGUUCGAUCCUGGAGAGUGGGCCUGAGAGAUU
rnacentral:rRNA from 1 species